CUGGCGGCGUGCCUAACACAUGCAAGUCGAGCGAGGAGAUCCUUCGGGAUGAUCCUAGCGGCGGACGGGUGAGUAACACGUGGGCAACCUGCCUCAUAGAGAGGAAUAGCCUUCCGAAAGGGAGAUUAAUACCUCAUAACAUUGCAGUUUCGCAUGGAACAGCAAUUAAAGGAGUAAUCCGCUAUGAGAUGGGCCCGCGGCGCAUUAGCUAGUUGGUGAGGUAACGGCUCACCAAGGCGACGAUGCGUAGCCGACCUGAGAGGGUGAUCGGCCACAUUGGGACUGAGACACGGCCCAGACUCCUACGGGAGGCAGCAGUGGGGAAUAUUGCACAAUGGGGGAAACCCUGAUGCCAGCAACGCCGCGUGAGUGAUGACGGCCUUCGGGUUGUAAAGCUCUGUCUUCAGGGACGAUAAUGACGGUACCUGAGGAGGAAGCCACGGCUAACUACGUGCCAGCCGCCGC
rnacentral:rRNA from 1 species